CAUGUUUAUUCCACAUUUUGUUCAUUCAUUCAGUCAUUCAUUUAUGGAUGCAUGGAUGCAUUCAUGGAUGCAACUUAGGUUGCUUCCACCUUUUGGGUGUUGUGAAUAGUGCUCCUCUGAACACAGGCAUGCAAAUACCUCUUCAAGACCCUUUCAGUUCUUUUCGGCCUUCCUAUUUUGGAAAAAUCGGGAAUUCAUUUUCAACUCAAUAAGUAUGGGUACCUAAGAGCAGCAGUUGGAGAUGACACAUGUACACAUCCAUACAUUUUAAAUUCAACAAAUAUUUACUGGGUAUCUAAUACGUGCCGGGUUGUACGUUCGCCACUGGGAAUUUAACAAUGAACAAAUCAUCAAUGCUUUUUCUUUCUUUUUCUUUCUCAUAACAGCUUUAUUGUAGUGUAACUCAGACACCAUACAGUAUCCCAAUUAAAGUGUACAGUUCAGUGGUUUUUAGCGUAUUCACAAAGUAGUACAAUUAUCACCAGUAUUUUCAACACCCUUCAAAAGAAACCCCCUAACCAGUAGCAAUCACUCCCCGUUUCUCCCAACCCUCAGCAACCAUUUCAUUCUCUCUCUCUAUUUUUGCCUAUUCAGACAUUUUGUAUAAAUGGAAUCAUACAGUU